rnacentral:rRNA from 1 species
UACAGAGGGUGCGAGCGUUGUCCGGAAUCACUGGGCGUAAAGGGCGCGUAGGCGGUCCGGUAAGCGUGCGGUGAAAGCCCGGGGCUCAACCCCGGGUCGGCCGUGCGAACUGCGGGACUGGAGCUUGUCAGAGGCAGGCGGAAUUCCGGGUGUAGCGGUGGAAUGCGUAGAGAUGUGGAGGAAUACCGAUGGCGAAGGCAGCCCCCUGGGCCAAUACUGACGCUCAUGCACGAAAGCGUGGGGAGCAAACAGG